rnacentral:snRNA from 1 species
ACGAAUACGAACCGUGAAA